GAUGAACGCUAGCGAUAGGCCUAACACAUGCAAGUCGAGGGGCAUCACAUGAAGUAGCAAUACGGAUGGUGGCGACCGGCGCACGGGUGAGUAACACGUAUGCAACCUGCCUUCAACAAGGGGAUAACCCGUUGAAAGACGGACUAAUACCCUAUAACACAGGGGUCCCGCAUGGGGAUAUUUGUUAAAGGACAACCGGUUGAAGAUGGGCAUGCGUUCCAUUAGCUAGUUGGCGGGGUAACGGCCCACCAAGGCAACGAUGGAUAGGGGAACUGAGAGGUUUAUCCCCCACACUGGUACUGAGACACGGACCAGACUCCUACGGGAGGCAGCAGUGAGGAAUAUUGGUCAAUGGACGCAAGUCUGAACCAGCCACGUCGCGUGAAGGAAGACGGCCCUACGGGUUGUAAACUUCUUUUAUACGGGAAUAAAGUGCCCCACGCGUGGGGUUUUGCAUGUACCGUAUGAAUAAGGAUCGGCUAAC
rnacentral:rRNA from 1 species